AAGUCGAGGGGCAGCAUGCAGGAAGCUUGCUUUCUGCGAUGGCGACCGGCGGAUGGGUGAGUAACGCGUAUCCAACCUGCCCCGUGCUCGGGGACAGCCCUUAGAAAUGAGGAUUAACCCCCGAUGGCGUAGGGAUUCCGCAUGGUAUUCCUACUAAAGUUUACGGCACGGGAUGGGGAUGCGUUCCAUUAGAUAGUAGGCGGGGCAACGGCCCACCUAGUCUACGAUGGAUAGGGGUUCUGAGAGGAAGGUCCCCACAUUGGAACUGAGACACGGUCCAAACUCC
rnacentral:rRNA from 1 species